GAUUCAGAUGAUGAGUUUGGAUUACAAAUUUCUCACGACGGUCGUCUGAGACACGCUCAGUGUCGAGCACUGAUGUUAUAAUGAUCCAAUGUUCCUGAUGAUU